rnacentral:rRNA from 1 species
UACGAAGGGGGCUAGCGUUGUUCGGAAUUACUGGGCGUAAAGCGUGCGCAGGCGGCUUUGCAAGACAGAUGUGAAAUCCCCGGGCUUAACCUGGGAACUGCAUUUGUGACUGCAUGGCUAGAGUGCGGCAGAGGGGGAUGGAAUUCCGCGUGUAGCAGUGAAAUGCGUAGAGAUGUGGAGGAACACCGAUGGCGAAGGCAGCCUCCUGGGCCAGCACUGACGCUCAUGCACGAAAGCGUGGGGAGCAAACAGG